rnacentral:tRNA from 1 species
GGUAGGGCUUCCGCGUCUGGUGAGCGGCCUGGUCUUCAAAACCAGAGGAGCCACGUGCAAGCGUGGCUCGGCGAGUUCGAUUCCCGUGCCCUACCGA